GGUUCUCCAUAGUAUGAUGAGCCUGCCAAGGGGGAGCUUGAGUACUGCAAUCCAACAUGUUAUUAUGCCAAAACACCACCACCUCUACAUCAACUACAUUUCUCCAAAUUUCAGCUAUCAACCCUGUUUUACGUCUUCUACAGGUAUUAUAUUCUUUCCUUUUAUUUUUGGUGCUUUGCUCACAUACUUUGCUUCACAAAAAUCCAGAAUGUUGGAAAAGGUUGACAUGGAA